rnacentral:rRNA from 1 species
UACGAAGGGGGCGAGCGUUGUUCGGAUUUACUGGGCGUAAAGGGCGCGCAGGCGGCUCAUUUUGUCAGGCGUGAAAGCCCCGGGCUUAACCUGGGGACUGCGUUUGAUACGGAUGGGCUAGAGUUCGGGAGAGGAGAGUGGAAUUCCCAGUGUAGAGGUGAAAUUCGUAGAUAUUGGGAAGAACACCGGUGGCGAAGGCGGCUCUCUGGACCGAGACUGACGCUGAGGCGCGAAAGCGUGGGGAGCAAACAGG